rnacentral:rRNA from 1 species
GACGGAGGGUGCUAGCGUUGUUCGGAAUCACUGGGCGUAAAGGGCGCGUAGGCGGCCUUGCAAGUCGGUUGGUGAAAGCCCCAGGCUCAACCUGGGAAGUGCACCCGAUACUGCUUGGCUUGAGUAUCGGAGAGGUUGGUGGAAUUCUCGGUGUAGAGGUGAAAUUCGUAGAUAUCGAGAGGAACACCGGUGGCGAAGGCGGCCAACUGGACGAAUACUGACGCUGAGACACGAAAGCGUGGGGAGCAAACAGG